rnacentral:rRNA from 1 species
CAUAGCCUUUAGCCAAACCAAUAUCAAAGGUAACGCCUGCCCAGUGAGACAUUAAACGGCCGCGGUAUCCUAACCGUGCAAAGGUAGCGUAAUCAUUUGUCCUAUAAAUUAGGACCAGUAUGAAUGGCUAAAUGAGGAUUAGCCUGUCUCUUUCGACCUGCCAGUGAAACUGAUCUGCCAGUACAAAAGCUGACAUACAACCAUAAGACGAGAAGACCCUGUGGAGCUUUAAACCCGCACCUAAACACACUCAAUCCCAAGUCACUAUUAGGUCACCAGUUUUCAGUUGGGGCGACUUCGGAGCCUAACACAACCUCCGAGCAUAAAGAACACAACUCACCAAGGCACACCCGCCAAAGCAAAUAUUGAUCCGGCCAUGCCGACAAACGAACCAAGUUACCCCAGGGAUAACAGCGCAAUCUUCUUCAAGAGUCCAUAUCGACAAGAAGGUUUACGACCUCGAUGUUGGAUCAGGACACCCAAAUGGUGCAGCCGCUAUUAAAGGUUCGUUUGUUCAACGAUUAACAGUCCUAUGUGAUCU